rnacentral:rRNA from 1 species
UACGUAGGCAGCGAGCGUUGUUCGGAGUUACUGGGCGUAAAGCGUGCGUAGGCGGUGUCUUAAGUUUGUUGUGAAAUCUCCCGGCUUAACCGGGAGGGUGCGGCGAAUACUGAGAUGCUGGAGUGCCGGAGAGGUAAUCGGAAUUCCUGGUGUAGCGGUGAAAUGCGUAGAUAUCAGGAGGAACACCUGCGGUGUAGACGGCUUACUGGACGGUAACUGACGCUGAGGCACGAAAGCGUGGGUAGCAAACAGG